rnacentral:rRNA from 1 species
GACAGAGGGUGCAAACGUUGUUCGGAAUUACUGGGCGUAAAGCGCGUGUAGGCGGCUCUGCAAGUCGGAUGUGAAAUCCCACGGCUCAACCAUGGAAGUGCAUUCGAAACUGCAGGGCUAGAGUCCUGGAGAGGAAGGUGGAAUACUUGGUGUAGAGGUGAAAUUCGUAGAUAUCAAGCGGAACACCGGUGGCGAAGGCGGCCUUCUGGACAGUGACUGACGCUGAGACGCGAAAGCGUGGGGAGCAAACAGG